AUUUAAUGCCUGAGCAAUCAUUACAUCAGAGUUUGUUCCCGAGGCCAGCGAAGGGUAGUGUGAGUAUAUCAUCAAUAUACCCGAUACAAGAAACAUUCCUUGAUGAUUUCAUUGUGACUUCUACAAAGACAAAACACUUACAGUCACUACACUUUAUCGAUUACUGUCCACACCUGUUCUUAGUUGGUGGUGAAUUUUUAAAAUUCAUUGGGUUGCAGUACAUGCAGUUAACAUGAUGGUUGGAACAAGCACAGAAACUUUCACAAACAGCAAGUGCAUAUGUGAUGUAGGUGAAAAAAGAAUCAAGACUUAAGGAACUUGAAUAGUGCAG